GUGGGUAUAGCUCAGUGAUAGAGCGCAUGCUUAGCAUGCACAAGGUCCUGGAUUCAAUCCCUAGUACCCCA
rnacentral:tRNA from 1 species